ensembl:rRNA 5S_rRNA 5S ribosomal RNA
GCUUAAGACCAUACCACCCUGUCUGCGUCUGAUCUCAGAAUUUAAACAGAGUCGGGCCUGGUUAGUACUUGGAUGGGAGAUCUCCUGGGAAUACCAGGUGCUGUAAGCU